AACGAACGCUGGCGGCAUGCCUAACACAUGCAAGUCGAACGAGACCUUCGGGUCUAGUGGCGCACGGGUGCGUAACGCGUGGGAACCUGCCCUUAGGUUCGGAAUAACUCCCCGAAAGGGGUGCUAAUACCGGAUAAUGUCUUCGGACCAAAGAUUUAUCGCCUUUGGAUGGUCCCGCGUUGGAUUAGCUAGUUGGUAGGGUAAAAGCCUACCAAGGCGAGGAUCUAUAGCUGGUCUGAGAGGAUGAUCAGCCACACUGGGACUGAGACACGGCCCAGACUCCUACGGGAGGCAGCAGUGGGGAAUAUUGGGCAAUGGGCGAAAGCAUGAUACAGCAAUGCCGCGUGAGUGAUGAAGGCCUGAGGGUUGUAAAGCUCUUUUACCCGGGAUGAUAAUGACAGUACCGGGAGAAUAAGCUCCGGCUAACUCCGUG
rnacentral:rRNA from 1 species